rnacentral:rRNA from 1 species
UUUGAAAUCUGGCCUCUUUGGGGUCCGAGUUGUAAUUUGCAGAGGGUGCUUUUGGUGUUGGCCGUGGUCUAAGUUCCUUGGAACAGGACGUCACAGAGGGUGAGAAUCCCGUACGUGGCCGCCGGCCCUCGCCUUGUAAAGCCCCUUCGACGAGUCGAGUUGUUUGGGAAUGCAGCUCUAAAUGGGAGGUAAAUUUCUUCUAAAGCUAAAUACCCGCCAGAGACCGAUAGCGCACAAGUAGAGUGAUCGAAAGAUGAAAAGCACUUUGGAAAGAGAGUGAAAAAGCACGUGAAAUUGUUGAAAGGGAAGCGCUUGCGGCCAGACGUGCCUGCGGUUGAUCAACUGGGCUCCCGCCCGGUGCACUCCUCCGCGGGCAGGCCAGCAUCAGUUUGGGCGGUCGGACAAAGGUCUCUGUCACGUACCAUCCCUCGGGAUGGCCUUAUAGGGGAGACGCAACACGGCCAGCCUGGACUGAGGUUCCGCGCAUCUGCUAGGAUGCUGGCGUAAUGGCAGCAAGCGGCCCGUCUUGAAACACGGACCAAGGAGUCUAACAUCUAUGCGAGUGUUUGGGUGUCAAGCCCGAGCGCGUAAUGAAAGUGAACGGAGGUGGGAACCCCUCGGGGCGCACCAUCGACCGAUCCUGAUGUCUUCGGAUGGAUUUGAGUAAGAGCAUAGCUGUUGGGACCCGAAAGAUGGUGAACUAUGCCUGAAUAGGGUGAAGCCAGAGGAAACUCUGGUGGAGGCUCGCAGCGGUUCUGACGUGCAAAUCGAUCGUCAAAUUUGGGCAUAGGGGCGAAAGACUAAUCGAACCAUCUAGUAGCUGGUUCCUGCCGAAGUUUCCCUCAGGAUAGCAGUAACGUUUU